CAUGCAGCCUAUGUGCAAACAAACAUAUAUAUGGCUUUAUAAAGAUGCUGUCUUUGCCAAACCUCAGCAGGCAACAGAACUGAAGAUCUACAAGGAUCGACAGGCAUCUUACUGUAGCUGGUCAGUAAAGAUUGACUGGGCAACCAAUAACAAUCCCUCAUCCAAAGCAAGGAUCAUUUUAAAGCUUGCAUCUACUUCUCCUUUCAAAUUCAACACAGCAUGUUUGAAAAUCCCGCCUGCCAGUUUCUGCCUGGUCAGAUGUCAAAGACGCAAGACUCAAACUCCUGAAGAUUUGACAUAAUAUGUGCCCAUUGAUCAGGGAUCAGAGACCACAGAGCGCAGAUUACUGGCUGUUAAUGGAAUCCUGUAAUGCAGCAACAGAUCAGAAUCCCGUUAUGGAGUGAAAUGGAAAGAGCCGUAGUGAGAACGCGUAUUUUCUUCCCAGUCAGAUGGGAUUCUCCAGUCAACAGACUUACUAAAAACUCCUGCUCAUCCCAAUGGCUAUCCUUCUACCUGUUGGCCUGCCUUGAAUGUCUGUUGAAACAGAUGUGUCUUGGACCAUUCCCAGACAGAUCAACAGCCUGUGGUCCCAAAGACCGAGCAUAUUCCAAAGGUGAGCAUGCAGUGGAUUUCCUGCCACUGGCUUCCCUCUUCCACUCUCAGUCCUGCUAGUGAUAAUACUUGCAGCAAAGUAAGAUAGGGAGAGAACUGACUUCUUAAAGGGGAUGGAAAGUGCGUGGCAAAGUUGGGCUUUAUAUAUCAAAGUCGUAGUCUCACAAUAUUUCUGUACUCAUAUGGUAAAUUGGAAAUGAUAGAACCAGACCCUCGCUACUUACACCACGUGGUGCACAUUUUCAGCAGGGCUCUGUCCAGUCUUUUUUUGCUUGGAUAUAUCUUUAUACCUACUGGGUCUGACCUGAAAUGAACCAUAUGCACCAGUACUGGGAAUUAAAAGUCUAAAAAAACCUCUUGGACUUGCUUGCUAUCCAUAUGAACCACAAAAGGGGAGCUGCAAAAUUAUUCUUGUAAAUAUCAACAAGGUAAGUCUUAGGUGGAAACAAGAAGCAGAGUGAUUAAGAAUCGAUUUGCAAAGCAAGGAUUACAGGCUUGUUUGUUUUCUCACACCUGCGCUCCACUUUAGCAGUACAAUGAAGGCAUAUCUAGUGCGCCUUUCCCCUAAUUGGAUAAUGCACUCAAGGGAAUAUGAUCAACAGAGGCUUUUAAG
rnacentral:lncRNA from 1 species